rnacentral:rRNA from 1 species
CCUACGGGCGGCUGCAGUGAGGAAUAUUGGUCAAUGGACGCAAGUCUGAACCAGCCAUGCCGCGUGCAGGAAGACGGCCCUAUGAGUUGUAAACUGUUUUUUUACGAGGGUAAAUCCCGAUACGUGUAUCGGGUUGAAAGUAUCGUACGAAUAAGGAGCGGCUAACUCCGUGCCAGCCGCCGCGUUAAUACGGAGGAGUCAAGCGUUUUCCGGUUUUAUUGGGUUUAAAGGGUGCGUAGGCGGUUCGAUAAGUUAGAGGUGAAAUCCCGGGGCUCAACUCGGGCACGGCCUCUGAUACUGUCUGGCUAGAGUGUAGAUGCGGUGGGCGGAAUGUAUGGUGUAGCGGUGAAAUGCAUAGAGAUCAUACAGAACACCGAUUGCGAAGGCAGCUUACCAAACUACGACUGACGUUGAGGCACGAAAGCGUGGGGAGCAAACAGGAUUAGAUACCCGGGUAGUC